rnacentral:lncRNA from 1 species
AUUUUCGUCUCUUCCUCAUCCCAAAUCAACAAACUCCUCAUCAUAGAUCCUAGUGGUUUUCACACUCUUCAUGCAUAUAGACAAUUUAAACAAUAGACAAGUCAGUUUUUCCAAAUGACAAAAUUUCAUUUGUGUGUGUGUUUGAAUCUGAAAAACGCUAGAAAAUCUAAGAGGAAAUACCCUAUUCAUAUCCUUUACUUGAUUUUGCAGAACUCAGACUGUGGACUGCUAUGUUGAAUUUCUUUGAUGGGAAUGUGCUAGGCGACAAUAUUUGUCAUGGUAAAAAGAUGUUCCAACUAAUAGCUCAGGCAGAAAUAGUUCUACCACAAUUAUGAAAAAUGGAGAAACAUAGCUCCGGGGAAAAUUAGCACACGGAGUCAGAAGCAAUCUACAUUGUAACAACAAUAUUAAUAUAUCAGACAUAAAGUUUACCAAAG